GGAGAGUACCUAAGCUGCGUCUAUCGAUAAAACUGUAUGAAAUCAAAUUACAUACAUGCCUGUUAAUUAAAAACAGGUAUCCAUAUGGUGUAAUUUUUGUACUGAAACACGAAUAUUGUAUGUUUGUGCUUUAAUUAUUAUGGUAAACGGUUGCAAUAGCUGUUUUUUGUGCCGAGAUUGUCGGCUUGUGGACACCGCCUCCUUUUGAUGAUCAACCAAUCAGUAAGACGAUCGCCGUCGAACAGAUGUUUGUAGUUUGCAGAAUGGAAAGCACCUUGCAGCGGAAAUUAUUUUCACUUCUACGUGAAAAUCUAGCCAGAAAACUGACCUGUCAAAUAUAAGAAACAGAAUGCUAUUCCAGCUUUGAUGAACUAUAAAGUAAUGGUUUGAAUUUGAAAAGCUUUAUUAUUAGACAGGGAUGAUGACCUGCAGUGAGACAGCAGUAGAAAGUUGCAUAUAACUCAUGAUCAUCAUGACCAUUAUGGAAGAUCAGAUCAGAUGAAAAUUAUGUUUAGAAAGCCACUAAAUAUGUCUAUGAAAAGUAGAAAAAAGACAGCAAUUCUAUGUAAAGUACUUAGCAGAAGCAUUGGCUGUUUGAAUACCAAUGUCAGUGUUGGAAUUUAGUAUUUUGAUGCUGAGAGAUAGAGGAACAUUAACUGAACAAUUUAGCUUCUUUUUCAUGUGUCAUUGAAGUUGAUGUUUACCAUCUUAAAAAGCUUUUACCACAGUUAAAAUGAAUUCUAAAUACAGGCAGUUUGGAGAUUUGUGAAUUUUCUUACAAUUGGAGUUUCAAAAUGGAUUUCAUUUAAAAAAAUUAUUUAUUUCACAGAUGAAAUUUGUCGUCUCUCAAAUGCUUUUAUGAAAUAUUUGAAUAAUCAGCAAUAUAUUUUAAGCAAUACCUAACCAAAUGAGAGAUCUACAGAUAGACAUAUGAAUUUCAGUUGAACUGUGAAGAAGGAAAUAUUCAUUUAUAAGACUUAUAUAAGUGUUUUGUUAUUUUUAUGGCAAUUACGGGAAAGAUGAAUCAAUUCGAUUUAAACAUUACUCAUACCUACAGAUAUACAUGAGAUAUAGGCAUACAAUUUACUGAUGCACCACUAAUGGAUAUACAUGUAAUUAUAAAACUAAGAAGAUGUGGUAUGAUUGCCAAUGAAACAACUCUCCACCAGAUAACAAAUAGUCGUAUUUUAUAACGAUUUACAUUUCAAUUUCAUUUCAUAACACAGCAUACAGGUAUACAAAAAGUUCAAAAGCAUAGAAAAAGUGUUUUUAUUGCAAUUGCUGUUGUUCAUCUUAUGGUCACAUUGAGGUGGGCCUUCAAUACUAAGCAAGACCACUGGAACAGCCACAGACAUGACAGAAUGUUUGAAAAAAGAAAUCUGGAAAUUUUCUUUGCUUGUAUAUAUAUCAUGUAGCUGCCAUUAUGUACAUGUACAUACAUGUAUCUAGUUUUGUCUAUAUACUUGGAAAUCAGAAAAUUUUGCAAUGUUUUCAUUUCUUGUCUAAAUUGAAAUUGGUUAUAUGUUUUGCAAAAAAAUCAUGUAAAUUUAUUUAAAUGAUGGUAUUAUUUGUAUCCAGCAUUUUCUGAAACUGCAAUAAUUAAUCUCGCAUUUUUUGUUCUGGCAUUGUUCAAUAAUUAUAAUUAUCAUGAUUAUCUUGAUAAUAAAUUUACGCAAAAGUUUCUGAGUUUACAAUAGUUAUCAGGUUAUAUCUUUUUGAAGGAUAUCUAACUUUGAAACUUGUGAUGGAAUAUUUUCAUAGUAUUAGAGAUUCUUAUAUCUACAUUUGUAGUCUGUUUAGCAAAAUAUGUUGGGUAUACAUGUAUGGCCAUUAGACAGCAUCCCCAACACUGACAGAAAUUGUUUUUUUCUAACUUUGAAAUUGCGUACAUGUUUGGUAAUAUUAUACAGCUAGAAUUUAAUAUAAAAUAAGAAGAUGUGGUAUAAUUGCCAAUGAAGUUUUGAUUAACAAUUACAUGAACUAAGUCAUUUUACUUUUUGUGAUUGGGUCAGGUUAAGAUUACCCACUGAUUGUACCCUUGUCAAUGAUAUUUGUAGGCAGUACUAGUAUGUAGUUUUAUUAGCAUUUACAUAUUUUCAUUUCCA